UGGGGAGUAGCCAAGCGGAAAGGCAGCGGCCUUUGGAGCCGCCAUCAUAGGUUCGAAUCCUAUCUCCCCAGC
rnacentral:tRNA from 1 species